AAAUUGAAGAAAUUAUGAAUUAGCCAUAUAAGAUUAUUAUUUGGACUAUACAUUUUGUAAACAUCAAAUAGAAUGUCAUAAUAUGCGUUUCAAUUUUCUUCUAUAUUCGAAGAAUUUCCUUAUGUAAUAAAUUUCAAAAAUAUGCAUCAUAUUUAAUAAUACAAUUAUUAAUCCAAAAAUCACUCGAAUCUCUUUGAAAACUAUAAAUUUGAAAAGAAUAAAAGAAUAAUACUCUGCAAACAAAAACUUUAAAACUGUAAUUAAACUAAAACAUCACCUAUUACUUCUUAGAAUAUAAAUUACAUAGAUGAUAUAGAGUAAUUAGUAAAAGUUAAUAUAUGAAUAAGGAUAAGGUAAUGUAUGUUUUAGAUAAUACAACUUACAGUAUGAAAGGAUUGUAGAAGUUAUAUGAGAAGUUUCUGCAAAAAGCAGUUGUUUGAAUUCUAUUAUUUGAAUUUUAUUCAAGGCACCACAAGAAAAUUAUUGAAUUCUGCUUGUUUCCUAGUAUUUUGUGGCACUGUUUAAUCUGCAACGCCGCUUUUUAUAAACAUAAGUUAUAUUAAAUAAGUACCGCUCUCAUUUUGAAAUCAACAUUCUUUGAAAACAUGGUAUGACGGUAUCUUCUUUUUGGUUUAAUAGCUUUUUGUUAAUAAAAUAUAACGUUCAUAAAUUCUGGUAACUAAAAGAAAUGCAAGGCAA